GAUGAAGAACGUAGCGAAAUGCGAUAAGUAGUGUGAAUUGCAGAAUUCAGUGAAUCAUCGAAUCUUUGAACGCACAUUGCGCCCCUUGGUAUUCCAUGGGGCAUGCCUGUUCGAGUGUCAUUUGUACCUUCAAGCUCUGCUUGGUGUUGGGUGUUUGUCUCGCCUCUGCGCGCAGACUCGCCUCAAAACGAUUGGCAGCCGGCGUAUUGAUUUCGGAGCGCAGUACAUCUCGCGCUUUGACAACAAAACGACGACGUCCAAAAAGUACAUUUUUUACACUCUUGACCUCGGAUCAGGUAGGGAUACCCGCUGAACUUAAGCAUAUCAAUAAGCGGAGGA
rnacentral:misc_RNA from 1 species